rnacentral:rRNA from 1 species
AGAGUGAACGCUGGCGGUAGGCCUAACACAUGCAAGUCGAACGGCAGCACAGUGGUAGCAAUACCAUGGGUGGCGAGUGGCGGACGGGUGAGGAAUACAUCGGAAUCUACCUUUUCGUGGGGGAUAACGUAGGGAAACUUACGCUAAUACCGCAUACGCCCUUCGGGGGAAAGCCGGGGAUCGCAAGACCUGGCGCGGAUAGAUGAGCCGAUGUCGGAUUAGCUAGUUGGUGAGGUAAUGGCUCACCAAGGCGACGAUCCGUAGCUGGUCUGAGAGGAUGAUCAGCCACAUUGGAACUGAGACACGGUCCAGACUCCGUAGGGAGGCGGCAGGUGGGGAAUAGUUGGAACUAAGUGGGCACAAGCCUGACUCCAGCCAUACCGCGGUGGGU